AGUGAACGCUGGCGGCAGGCUUAACACAUGCAAGUCGAGCGGAGAGAAGUAGCUUGCUACUGAUCUUAGCGGCGGACGGGUGAGUAAUGCUUAGGAAUCUGCCUAUUAGUGGGGGACAACAUUUCGAAAGGAAUGCUAAUACCGCAUACGUCCUACGGGAGAAAGCAGGGGAUCUUCGGACCUUGCGCUAAUAGAUGAGCCUAAGUCGGAUUAGCUAGUUGGUGGGGUAAAGGCCUACCAAGGCGACGAUCUGUAGCGGGUCUGAGAGGAUGAUCCGCCACACUGGGACUGAGACACGGCCCAGACUCCUACGGGAGGCAGCAGUGGGGAAUAUUGGACAAUGGGCGGAAGCCUGAUCCAGCCAUGCCGCGUGUGUGAAGAAGGCCUUAUGGUUGUAAAGCACUUUAAGCGAGGAGGAGGCUACUUUAGUUAAUACCUAGAGAUAGUGGACGUUACUCGCAGAAUAAGCACCGGCUAACUCUGUGCCAGCCGCCGCCGUAACAC
rnacentral:rRNA from 1 species